GAUGAACGCUAGCGACAGGCCUAACACAUGCAAGUCGAGGGGUAGCACAGAAUAGCUUGCUAUUUGGGUGACGACCGGCGCACGGGUGAGUAACGCGUAUGCAACCUGCCUAUAAGAGGGGGAUAGCCUUUCGAAAGAAAGAUUAAUACCGCAUAAUACUGUUUGUCUGCAUGGAUGAACAGUUAAACUAUUUGGCUUAUAGAUGGGCAUGCGUUCCAUUAGAUAGUUGGUGAGGUAACGGCUCACCAAGUCAGCGAUGGAUAGGGGUUCUGAGAGGAAGGUCCCCCACACUGGUACUGAGACACGGACCAGACUCCUACGGGAGGCAGCAGUGAGGAAUAUUGGUCAAUGGGCGAGAGCCUGAACCAGCCAAGUCGCGUGAAGGAUGAAGGUCUUAUGGAUUGUAAACUUCUUUUAUAAGGGAAUAAAAAAGAUCACGAGUGGUCUAUUGCAUGUACCUUAUGAAUAAGCAUCGGCUAACUCCGUGCCAGCCGCCGCCGUAACAC
rnacentral:rRNA from 1 species